rnacentral:rRNA from 1 species
GACGAACGCGGCGGCGUGCCUAAUACAUGCAAGUAGAACGCUGAAGGAGGAGCUUGCUUCUCUGGAUGAGUUGCGAACGGGUGAGUAACGCGUAGGUAACCUGCCUGGUAGCGGGGGAUAACUAUUGGAAACGAUAGCUAAUACCGCAUAAUAGUAGAUGUUGCAUGACAUUUACUUAAAAGGUGCAAUUGCAUCACUACCAGAUGGACCUGCGUUGUAUUAGCUAGUUGGUGGGGUAACGGCUCACCAAGGCGACGAUACAUUGCCGACCUGAGAGGGUGAUCGGCCACACUGGGACUGAGACACGGCCCAGACUCCUACGGGAGGCAGCAGUAGGGAAUCUUCGGCAAUGGACGGAAGUCUGACCGAGCAACGCCGCGUGAGUGAAGAAGGUUUUCGGAUCGUAAAGCUCUGUUGUAAGAGAAGAACGAGUGUGAGAGUGGAAAGUUCACACUGUGACG